UUCCCCUAGUACGGCGAGUGAAGCGGGAAGAGCUCAAAUUUGAAAUCUGGUGGCCUCAGGUCAUCCGAGUUGUAAUCUAUAGAAGUGUUUUCCGUGCUGGCUCAUGUACAAGUCCCUUGGAACAGGGCGUCAUAGAGGGUGAGAAUCCCGUCCUUGACAUGAACUACCAGUGCUCUGUGAUACAUUUUCAACGAGUCGAGUUGUUUGGGAAUGCAGCUCAAAAUGGGUGGUAAAUUCCAUCUAAAGCUAAAUAUUGGCGAGAGACCGAUAGCGAACAAGUACCGUGAGGGAAAGAUGAAAAGCACUUUGGAAAGAGAGUUAAACAGUAUGUGAAAUUGUUGAAAGGGAAACGAUUGAAGUCAGUCGUGCUCUUUGGAUUCAGCCGGUUCUGCCGGUGUACUUCCUUUGAGUGGGGUCAACAUCAGUUUUGAUCGCUGGAUAAAGGCUGGAGGAACGUAGUACCCUCGGGUAAACUUAUAGCCUCCUGUCACAUACAGUGGUUGGGACUGAGGAACGCAGCACGCCUUUAUGGCCGGGAUUCGUCCACGUACGUGCUUAGGAUGUUGACAUAAUGGCUUUAAACGACCCGUCUUGAACCACGGACCA
rnacentral:rRNA from 1 species